AGUGAACGCUGGCGGCGUGCUUAACACAUGCAAGUCGAACGAGAACGGGUUAUAGCUUGCUAUAAUUGUCAGCUAAGUGGCGCACGGGUGAGUAAUGUAUAGGUAAUAUGCCUCUUACUAAGGAAUAACAAAUGGAAACGUUUGCUAAUACCUUAUACUCCUUAUUAACAGAAGUUAAUAAGGGAAAGAUUUAUUGGUAAGAGAUUAGCCUGUAUUGUAUCAGUUAGUUGGUGGGGUAAUGGCUUACCAAGACUAUGACACAUAACUGGUUUGAGAGGAUGAUCAGUCACACUGGAACUGAGACACGGUCCAGACUCCUACGGGAGGCAGCAGUGGGGAAUAUUGCACAAUGGACGAAAAUCUGAUGCAGCAACGCCGCGUGGAGGAUGACACAUUUCGGUGCGUAAACUCCUUUUAUAUGAGAAGAUAAUGACGGUAUUAUAUGAAUAAGCACCGGCUAACUCCGUGCCAGCAGCCGCGGUAA
rnacentral:rRNA from 1 species